GCGCCCAAAAAUAACCGCCCGAAGGCCGGGGCGCCAAGUUCGUCCUGCGGAAAAAGCCCACAAAAACGGGUGGGCUAUAGCCUUGGGGGGUGGGGCUGGCCAACUUCGUCCGCCGGACUCGGAAUGGCGCGAGACUUUGCGAGGCGCCUCCGUGUGCCAAAAAUAGGCCGCGGGCACAGCCGCACCCAAAAAUAACCGCCCGAAGGCCGGGGCGCCAAGUUCGUCAAGCGGAAAAAGGCCACAAAAACGGGUGCGCUAUAGCCUUGGGGGGUGGGGCUUGCCAACAUCGUCCGCCGGACUUGGAAUGGCGCGAGACUUUGCAAGGCACCUCCGUGUGCCAAAAAGUGGCCGUGGGCACAGCCGCGCCCAAAAAUAACCGCCCGAAG
rnacentral:lncRNA from 1 species